rnacentral:tRNA from 1 species
UCCCUGGCAGUCCAGUUGUUAGGACUCAGUGCUCUCACUGCUGAGGGCCUGGGUUCAAUCCCUGGUUGGGGAA